UUUUGUGUUUAGUUUUGUUUUGUUUUACUAUAGUUAAGUAAAAAGUUAAGUUUAUACAAAGGCGAUGGAAUCAAGCACUCUAGUAUCUGUACUCUAAUACCGUACACUGUAUCUUCUAUCUGCAGCACAAUCCACAUUCUCAAUUACAUUACAUUCCCCCACGACCACAAAAGAAGAAGACUUUCAAGGUAGUCGCUCGCAAUAAGUGCAAUCUGGUGUUCACUUCUCGAAAAAUCAAAAAAUGAAAAUCGAAAAACCAACGCAAACAACAAUUUGGAACUCUGAAAACCUUUUCAAUGCUAAUAUUUACUCUAUAUUUUGAUACUAAAAAUGAUUAUAUUUUGAUACUAAAAAUGAUUAUAUUU